rnacentral:rRNA from 1 species
UACAGAGGGGGCGAGCGUUGUUCGGAAUUACUGGGCGUAAAGGGCGCGUAGGCGGCCCGCUAAGUCGAACGUGAAAUCCCCAGGCUCAACCUGGGAACUGCGUCCGAUACUGGCAGGCUUGAAUCCGGGAGAGGGAUGUGGAAUUCCAGGUGUAGCGGUGAAAUGCGUAGAUAUCUGGAGGAACACCGGUGGCGAAGGCGACUACCUGGCCUGUUCUUGACGCUGAGGCGCGAAAGCUAGGGGAGCAAACGGG